UACGGAGGGUGCAAGCGUUAUCCGGAUUCACUGGGUUUAAAGGGUGCGUAGGUGGGUUGGUAAGUCAGUGGUGAAAUCUCCAGGCUUAACUUGGAAACUGCCAUUGAUACUAUCAAUCUUGAAUACCGUGGAGGUCAGCGGAAUAUGUCAUGUAGCGGUGAAAUGCUUAGAUAUGACAUAGAACACCAAUUGCGAAGGCAGGCUGGCUACGCAUAUAUUGACACUGAGGCACGAAAGCGUGGGGAUCAAAGCAGG
rnacentral:rRNA from 1 species